rnacentral:lncRNA from 10 species
UUCUUCGGCCUUGCAUAGCGCCCAGCACAGAAGAAAUGCUCAAUAAAUAGCUUCUGAUAAUGUUAUUUCCAGGGUAAGAGAGCCAGUAAAUGAUGAGCCUUUCAUGAAAGAUUUAAAAAAAAAACACACCAAAAAAACCUUGUGAGAUGAAGAAAAGAAAGACAUUUGCAUCAGUAAUAGUGAAAGAAGAAAUUACUUUGAUUUGUAGACCAUCGCAUCUUUCUUUCAAGGAUUUGGCUUUAUUUGGCGUGGUAUCUCACUUGUCUUUUCACCAGUCCUGGCAACAUUCCUGACAAGUGAGAGGAAGUGAGACAAGAAAUGAUACAGUAAGGGCCAAGUAUCCAUAACUUAGGGGUAAAUACUUCAUUUCCCUCUGAUUUGGUGAAUGGGUACUUAGUAUGAAGCUUACAAAAAAUAAAGAUUACUUCUAACACCAAACACUGCCAAUUGGGCUUAAAUCUCUGAGCCACUGGUAAAACCAUGUCUUACCUGCAUAGUGUUACCAUAUCCAUUAUUUUCUAAAGCUAUCAAAGCUAAGGCCUUGAGGCAGAAAGGUGCUGCACCAAAAUGAAAUUCAGUUGCGUUUGGAAGCCUACCCCUCCGUGGGAGUUCAAUCAGGUUGAGUACAGUUCUGUGCUGCACAGAGCAGCUUUCAGUGCAGGAGGCAGGCCAUUAAAUGCUUUCUGAACUCCAUUAGUUACCCCUGCUGAGAGUGAAAAGUUCUCGUAAGUGCAUAAAAUUUAAAUUGCCUAUGAGGUAAGAACGAGACGGUAUUUUGCUGCCAAAUAUUAUUGUCUGUUCAAAUGGUCUACGAUCACACAUAUAAUGCAGAAUCAUAGAGUACAGACCUGAAGGAAUGAAGCGUUGACUAGGAAUACUGUGCCCCAAAUCAAAUGACAUCUCAUCAUCUGGAAAGACCCCCAGAGUUUUCUUCAGGUGAACUUCCCCCCGGCCUGGCACCUCCAGCCAGGUACAUGUGCUCAGAUGGAGCCCAGCACCUCCACUCCAGUCUAGACUCGGGACUCAGCCAGGCCCGAUCAGAGCGCCAGAGACACUUGGCCUCAGUGACUGAAGGAGGCAUGGCACGUGACCCAGUCAGAGCACCGAGGUGAGGUGCAACCCAAGGUGGACAGGACUAUUAAGAGAGAGACAUGCGCUCUUUUUUACCCCUCUACUCUCCCUGAACCUGGAAGAAAAUGGGUUUGGGAUUGCAGCUUGCCAUUUGCCAUCACAGGAACCUGGGAGAGUAAAGCCACACGAAGGACAGUGAAGCUGAGAACUGGCAAGAUAUUGUGUCCUUAUGACACUUUUUGGAGGCCCAGGAUCCAGCUGUGUGUCUGAAUUUUCAGGUUAUGUUAGCCAAUAGAUCCCAUUUUUCUUAGAUUUAAGUUUUCUUUCACUUGUAAUCAAUAGUCCUAACUGAUAAUUAAAAUGGAGAACCAUACAUUUCAGUCUUGAAGAGACUUAUCUCAUUCUACAGGCAGAGACGGACACUGAGAUCCAGGGAAGUAGCUUUCCCAGGUCCUCUGCUAGCUGGUAGUGUAGCCAGGACUAGCACCCAGGUCUCCUGCUUUCUCAUGUGAUGUUUUCACUGCACCAUGGAGAAAAUUAAAAAAUAAUUAUGAAACACAUUGGACUGAUUUAAAACUUUUAAUUAAAACUCUGCUCUAAUUAAAAGCUUAUUGGGUAUUAUACUCAAAAAAUUCAUAAUUAAUAUUUUAAAUCAUUCUUUACAUUGUUACCUAGAAUAUAAGCAACUUAAAAAUACAUUAAUAAAUUAAAUUUUUCAGAAAUGUGCUUGUGGUCUGCUGUAGCAGCAAUAGAAAUAGCCCAACAAAAUA